AGCUCCAAUAGCGUAUAUUAAAGUUGUUGCAGUUAAAAAGCUCGUAGUCGAACUUUGGUAGAGUGAAAUGCGUCGGCCGAACGGUCAGUAUGUGUUUCGCGCUACUUCCUUCUGGAAGCUGCGUCUGUUCUUAACUGAGCGGGCGUAGAGUUCAGGAAUUUUACUUUGAGAAAAUUAGAGUGUUCAAAGCAGGCCUAUGCUGUGAAUACAUUAGCAUGGAAUAAUGGAAUAGGACUUUGGUUCUAUUUUGUUGGUUUCUAGAACCGAAGUAAUGAUUAAUAGGGAUAGUUGGGGGCAUUCAUAUUUAAUUGUCAGAGGUGAAAUUCUUGGAUUUAUGAAAGAUGAACUUCUGCGAAAGCAUUUGCCAAGGAUGUUUUCAUUG
rnacentral:rRNA from 1 species